UCCAAUCGAAACUAUUGUUGAAUUAAUGAAAUAAUGGAAAUUUAAAUCAUCAAAAGGUUCAUCAAAUUCCUAAUGAACAAAAACCCUAGCCUAUAAUCAUCAUUACAAAAUCAAGAAAUUGAAAAACGAAAUUAAAAGAUAAUAAGAAUACACCCGUAUGGAAUUUCUUCAAUCCCGUCUCGAACCCGUGCAAAAUUGAAUCCAAAAUCAAGUUUCUUGCCUCCAAUUUUGGUCUCUCCCUUCUCCCUGGUCGUUCCCUCUCUUAAUAUGAUGAAUUUGGUAUUUAUAUCGCAUCCAAAUUAAGUAGGAAAGAAGUUUCAACCAAAACGAAAAACUACGUCCGAAGUUGCAAAACAUAACUAUGCGACCGCUAUGCGGUUCGCAUAGAUCAUUUAUUUUGCUCAUUGAAUUCCCUGAAACCUUCUAUGCGACCGCAUAGAAGGUUACACUAUGCGGUCGCAUAGAAGUAGCCAUCUAUGUGGUUUGUGCAAUUUGGUCCCUGAACUUCUUUGUUGCUUCUCUUGACUUCUUUUUUCGAUUUCUUCAUCUUUUCAACAAUUCUUAUCUUCAAAUUGAUGAUCGACACUUUCAAAUAUUAUGCCACUCAUUCGGCACAUCUUUUGAGUAUUUGCACUUUAGUCCUCCAACUUUCAAUUAUCUUCAUUUUAGUCCAUCUUCCAUUCUUUCU
rnacentral:lncRNA from 1 species